rnacentral:sRNA from 1 species
AUCUGCCGGGGAAUAUUACACACACACACCGUCACGACUGUCGGGGUGCCCGGGAAACCGGGUCGGCAGCCGGGGUGUGUGGAGGAAAAAC